AUUCACCAAGGUGGAGGAAGGACAGACAUCACACCAAUGUCUAUGAAGUGCCAGUUGCUCUGCAGGUGGGCAUCAUUACUGCAUCCCCAGCAAAGAAGGAGGUUGCAUCUUCGUGGACAGGGAUUGUUCCUUCUGAAGUCUCCUCCAGAACCAGAGGAGGAGCUGACUUUCCACCUUCACAGAGAACCUUGGCUCAACAGAGCUAAGAUGAAGCCAAAGGAAUGCGAUUCUAUCAAAAUCUGUCACUGAACAAGCAACUCCUCAGCUUAGAAGACUCUGAGUCGCGGGAUUUGGCUCUACCUGUGCUCCUCUGAGAUCAGCUGCGAACCAAGAUACUUACUUUCCCUUGAAAGAAGCUUCAAGACACACACACAGGAGGAAACCAUGCUGGGUACUAGAAACCUAGUCAGUUACCUGCGGUUAGGGACAUCAUAAGUCUUAGAAGAGAAUCUACUUACCACCACAUUGCCAGACCAGCGUAAUUCUUUACUACAUCCUAAGCCUUCUUCUUGUAAGCACAGGCCAGUGUAGCUCCCACCCCUGAUCAAAGAAGCUCUCUGUACAGCAAAUGGGAGCAACACACUCAUUUCACUCCCGUAGGGUAUUAGCUGCUCUUCUGUUGCUGUCAUAGGAGGCCUCAACAAGAAGAAACUUAGAUGAGAAAGGGGUUUCUUUUAGCUAACAAGUCCAAAGGGAGCCAUCAUAUUGGGGAAGCCAUGGCAGGAGGAACAUGAGACCAUCUUGGUCAUCAGAAUGAGCACUUUUCCACCAUACAUAGGGCGCAAAGAGAGAGCGGAAAAAUGGGGCCAGACUGUAUGCCUUCAAGGUUCACUCCCAGCGAUGUACUUCACCUCCUAAAGGUCCCAAACCUUCCGAAAAGUACCACCAACUGGGGACCAACUAUGAGCCUUUGUGAGGUGGAUUUCAUGUUGAAAUCAUAACAGCCAACAACUCAGACAGAUGAGAGUCAAGUCAUUUUCUAGACGUUAGAGAAACCAUACUUAGGACCCUUUAUGCAACCAAAGGCUACGAAUAAGAGGAUCGUGGGCUCUUGCUGCCUCAGUCCUGCAAAUCUUCUGAGUCUGCUAUGGGUUUCGGACAGGGCAACCAUCAUUAUAACUUUCAAGGGGAGCUCCUGAAUGCCUAACACCAAAUGGGUUGUUUCUUUUCAUCCAAAAAAGUGUCAAGCAGACUGAUAUUGUUCCCAUGUGGAUGAAAUGUCUGACUACAAAAGCAGCCA